rnacentral:lncRNA from 1 species
AUGAGGCAAAGUUCUGAAAUAGAAUCAAAUCAUUUGUGUAAUUCUCCUGAAGAAUGUGAAUGGAAGUACAGUGAGACCAUAUCUUGGAAGUCUCUGAAUGUCUUAUUAAAGAAUUUGGAUUUAAUUACUGCCUUUGAAAGACAAUCAUUCAAACAGCUCAUAUACCCUCUGAAGUUCCCAGCUGGAAUCAGUCUGUGCAGAAACUUUCAAGCCAUGGAGAGAGAAGCAUUUGAAGUCAUUUAUAUUUAGACAAAGCCUGUCUGGUCGCUUACAGUUAGUCACAAAACGCCUUUUGCCAGUUGGAGUCUGUGUCCAUGUUUUGGAAGAAGCUGCAGCGUGACUGGGGCAGGAAGCUCUACUCGAUUUAAUCGUCUAUUCGUUUGGAUCCUCUUGGAGCGUUCAACUGCUUCACCCACCUCCUAGGAGAAACAGACACGGAGCGGUAGGAGAACUAUUCUUAUCCCCAUCCGGGGAUCAGGGAUCCCUCAUUUUCAGUCCUCUGCUCCUGCGCUGUACAGCUUGGAGCUGGGGGAGAGGGCUGAGAGGGACUCCAAAAGAAAGAAAUCCAUUUGAGCUAUAGG